GAGGGAGGUUUUAAAGCAGCGACAGAGUGGCAUCUUUCUGUCUCUCAUUGUCUACAUUGCCCUUCAACUGACAGAGAAGUGACAACAGUCAACACAUUUUGGUAUGUGACCCCAGUGGGAAUCGAACCCAUACCUCUGGCGUUGCUAGUGCCAUGCUCUUAUGAACCGAGCUAUGUACAGGACCACUACACUAGCCAGACAGGAGCCCAUAAACACUACAGAGCUAUUUGGAGCAUCUCCCUCAAUGUCACUCUCCAAGCUCAGAGCUGGGGCUAUCGCUCAUUGGCUCCUCUCAGGACGAAUGGCCUUGCUGACAGCAGAUGGGGCCAUAACUGGUCCUCCCGGUUUUGACCCCUGCCUGACUCUGGACUACUUUCCCGCCUACCUGAUCAUCCUGACUUUGUUUCUGCCUGCCCUUGUUACCUUUUGAACUGGGUUUGAACCUUUUGCCUGUCCACAACCAUUCUCUUGCCU